GAGAAAAAAAAUAGAGGCGAGGAAAAACUCUUAACAAAAUCGGCAUAAAAUCUCAUAUGUCCAUCCAUGCGUGUUUUGUUUGGUCCCUUAAUGGAAAUGUUAGAAGCCUAGGCGACCCUUGUUGUAGGUAUUAGAAAAAAAAAUAACGACUGGAGCGAGUGAGCAGAGCCCGGGCUAUGAUGACGACAGGUGGGACCCCUUCUUACAUAUACCCUGGACAGGAAGUUGGGUAUUUGUGUGCGGUUUGGGGUUACCAGAGAGCCCGCAGAGAGGUUGAGGGUUCAGUCCAGGACUCUGGUUCACGGGGAAAAACAUUAGCAAACAGCAGGACAUACAACACAUUUUAUGCACAAGCAUUUUGUGCGAUUCCCGCCACAUGCCCCUUGCUCUCUCUGUUGUACGUCAAAUGUUACCCCAUUCCCCUCCAUUCAUUCUCCGUCUCUGACUGCCUGUCGUCGUCGUCGUCAUGGCAGGAAGUCAUUGUAAAGGUAGUUAGUUAAUGUGCACAGUGGUGCGAAAAUGAUGAAUUUAUGGAAUACACACAAUUAUGGGGAAUGCAGAGGGGUUCCCUACUAGCUUUUCCCUGAUUGUAAG